UGUUGUGUGGCUUAGCUGGUUAAAGCACCAGACUAACGAUAUGAAGCCGUGCGUUCGAAACCCACCAAAACAA
rnacentral:tRNA from 1 species